GUUGGUUUGUGUGGUGAAGCUCUUGUUGAGGCCAUAAUUCGUGGAAUGACAGAAAGUAGGCUGACUUCUAAAAAAAUUGGAAACAACCAUGGGUAAGUGGAAGCAUGCAAGUUGGAAACAAGGAAACAAGGAAUUGAUAGAGUCAUCUUCUGAUUGAAAAUAUUCAAGACCAAUUGUUUGAACCUGUCUUGUCAUUGGAAAAACAAAUAUAUAUGGCAAAAGAGGGAUUGAAAGGCAAUUAUCAUGUUGGUAUUAGGAGUUAUCUGUGGGACAUUCUUGGGUGGCUUACAAUUCAUUGUGGAGAAAAUUUAAACCCUUGUACUCGUGGUAGUGAGCUCUGCAUCAACUUACUAAUUACAUGUGCAUGGUAAAUUGUAUUCCUUCCAUUAUCAUUUCUUGAUGAUUUAACAUGUGUAUAAACUUAAAGAUAAAUAACUUAUCCUAUGUCUCUGUUUCUUGCUACUGCUGUUGAUUAUAUUUCUGAAAAUUUUCAGCUGACCUUUUAUUUCACCCGUUGUUGCUUGCCAAAUUCACUAAUUCUAAUUUUUCCUUUCUCUAUAGCUUGAGUUUUGUGGAUACACUUGAAAAAUGGUGCAGAAUUUGGCAAAAGGAUAUUGAUGAUCAUUUUCAAAAGUGAACCAGUAUUAAGGGCUGUUCUAAUGAUGAUUCAUAUUAUCAGAUGUACUAAAGGUGAAAGGCAUGCUAUGUUUGAAAAGCUUACUACAUACUCUAGAUUAUACAUCAUCCCUGGAAAGCUAUGGAUCAUUUGAUAAACUUCAACUGGUUGUUAAUUUAAUUGGGUUUACUUGUUUUUCAUUAAAUAAUAUGCCCAUUUCAGUAUAUUUAUUGAGAGUUCUAUCAAAAGCCUGAUAAGAACCUUGGAGCCCAAGGACUUGUAAACUCUGCACUAAAACUUCUAAUGUGGGACUCAACUCUCACAACACCUUUCAAUUAUAGAUAAAGAUUGAUAUGUUUUUCUUCACAAACAUAUUCUAACUAUCCUUUGAAAACUCACUAAUGGUAUUCUUGAGCCCUUGGUUGGAAGUGACGUGCAAUCAUGUUUGUUAUCAUGACGGUUUGCAUUGUUAUGUUCUUCCAUGUUAACUUCAUUUCAACUCUUAAUUUGUCUAGGAUAUCCUUGGAAAUCAGGUGCAAGAAUUUUUCAUUUCUAAUGAGACACUUUGCAAGCCUCUUUGCUUUAAUUUUUGUUUCCUUCUACACUUGGAUCCUGUCUCCUAUGGUCUCUCUUAAAUAUUAUUCAUUCAUUGUUGCAGUCAUUCACAAGUAAUAAAAGUUGAUAUUAGCUAGCAAGCAUUGAUUAAACUAGUGCAAUGGUUUUAUUAUGAUGAGCUACCUGAUCCUCCCUCUGGAUGCUUGUGGGAUAAUAUGGAUGAUAAAGAAAAGCUAUUUAAUCUACAACCAUAUGUGGAGUUUUAUUGACUUUCUGAGUUUUGGAUUUUUGGAAAAUAUUCAGGAAGCUUGCUGGAAUUGAUGGAAGAGGCCCCAACACCCAAAAGAGCGUCUAGGACCAACCUUGCAUGAAAGGCAACCAAGAGAGCGUCUAGGACCAACCUUGCAUAGAGGGCACCCACAAGUAGCGUCUAGGCCACACAAGAAGUGUCUAGGCCACACAAGGAGCGUCAAAGAGAGUUGACAUCCAAGAAGGGUGACGUCCAAGAAGGCCUAACAAAGUGUAGCUUAGUCUUAUUUGUGGUGUAAAUAGCAUAGCCUUAUGAACCUUUGUUUAAAUUCUGCAAAUUAGGAUUAAGGAGGAGUUAACCUAGAUUAGCUACGGUUUCUAGAAGCUCUCCACUAAUCUAGGACGUCCAUGUGCAAGUUAGGAGGCCAUGUGCACCCAUGUGUCAUGUGCUCCAUGUGCUACU
rnacentral:lncRNA from 1 species